CAGAUAUUGCUUAAGUAACCUUAUAAAUGCAUUUCUCUGCUUUGUGUUCUCAACUAAGUUCUGCCAAUGUAUGUCUCUUUUCGUGUAGUUAUGAACCAGCAACCUAAAUACCAAGGGAAAGUCCAAAUCACAUCACACUAAAAGUCACAAGUAAACUUCCUAAAUGCUUUAAUGAAUAACCAUAAGUCAGAUGAAUACCUAGUAUAUGGGAAAGAUUUCAGUAUGCUAAAUAUGGAUGAUGAAUCCAAAAUCAAAAAGAAUUAACUAACUUUGUAUGGGUUAUAAUAUUAACAAUAUUUAAUAUAUAAUAUUUUUUUUGUAGUAUAAAAAUACUUGGCAAAGUCCAAAAAUCUUUAUGUUCCUUAUGGAACACAUUAGUCUUACUUUCAUUCAAGGUAUCUUGAAACAGAGUUUCAACAAACUCAAUCUUUGCACAAAAAUUAAUAAAUAUCAAACCCGCAAUUUAUAUAUCAACUGGCUAGAUCGGCAUCCAAUUAGAUUGAUCAUAAAUUAUAUACUAGUAGUUAUUUUAAUGAAGUAAUAGCCAUUACUUAUUUUUUGCCAAUAUUUACACGUCCAAUAGGAGAUAUUUUGCAAGCAUGAACUAAGUAGAAUUUGCAAUAGGCAGUGAAUCUGCAAAUAUCUAUUUUAUCAAUAGAUUGGCAAAAUGCAGGUAAAUAAUGAAAUAUCUACAUGAUAAACCUAAUAACAGAAUUUAGAUUAUGUUAGUAACAUUCUCAAGCAUGGAGAAACAAAAGGAACCUAACCAUAUAAGUUAGAUUCCUACCGUAAGGUUAAUAGUCAGAUCAAAGAUUUGAAGUGUUGCACAAUAGAAAUAUUAGCAACUUGAUUCACAAAGUAUAAUAUUAACACUCCUCUUGAUAAAAAUGGAUGUCAAUUCACUUUUUUGGAUAGAUACAAUAUGGAGUUUCAUGGAACAUUCCAGUACAAAAAACAAUGUAGAUGAUAGCAACUAUAAGGUAAUAUCACAAAACCACAUAAAUAAUACCUAACUCUCACCAUGACAAAACAAGCACUCGCUGAUAAAUCAAUGCAUACCUGAUUUUUCACAUAACGAUACCAUAUUUAUACCUAUCAAAAAAUAAUAUUAUAUUCAUAUUAAUCCAAUAUAAAACCUUUUAGUAAUGAGCAAGUAUAUAUCCAAAGGAAAGGAAAAGGAUAAAACACAAGCACAAACUGAUCAUGUCACAUUUUUUUAAAGAAAGAAGCUUUGCGCUGAAACCAAAGAAUUCUCAGUAAUAAUGCACACAAAUUCAAUCAAGAGGAAAAUUGGAAGGAGCAUCGACUUCAUCAAAAGGAAAGCAAUCAAGAUUGCAUAUGCCAUGUAGCUUUUAAUAGCAGAUA
rnacentral:lncRNA from 1 species